UGAACGCUGGCGGCAGGCCUAACACAUGCAAGGCGAACGGGAACAGGAAGAAGCUUGCUUCUUUGCUGACGAGUGGCGGACGGGUGAGUAAUGUCUGGGAAACUGCCUGAUGGAGGGGGAUAACUACUGGAAACGGUAGCUAAUACCGCAUAACGUCGCAAAACCAAAGAGGGGGACCUUCGGGCCUCUUGCCAUCGGAUGUGCCCAGAUGGGAUUAGCUAGUAGGUGGGGUAACGGCUCACCUAGGCGACGAUCCCUAGCUGGUCUGAGAGGAUGACCAGCCACACUGGAACUGAGACACGGUCCAGACUCCUACGGGAGGCAGCAGUGGGGAAUAUUGCACAAUGGGCGCAAGCCUGAUGCAGCCAUGCCGCGUGUAUGAAGAAGGCCUUCGGGUUGUAAAGUACUUUCAGCGGGGAGGAAGGGAGUAAAGUUAAUACCUUUGCUCAUUGACGUUACCCGCAGAAGAAGCACCGGCUAACUCCGUG
rnacentral:rRNA from 1 species